GACGAACGCUGGCGGCGUGCUUAACACAUGCAAGUCGAACGGAAAGGCCCUGCUUUUGUGGGGUGCUCGAGUGGCGAACGGGUGAGUAACACGUGAGUAACCUGCCCUUGACUUUGGGAUAACUUCAGGAAACUGGGGCUAAUACCGGAUAGGAGCUCCUGCUGCAUGGUGGGGGUUGGAAAGUUUCGGCGGUUGGGGAUGGACUCGCGGCUUAUCAGCUUGUUGGUGGGGUAGUUGCUUACCAAGGCUUUGACGGGUAGCCGGCCUGAGAGGGUGACCGGCCACAUUGGGCCUGAGAUACGGCCCAGACUCCUACGGGAGGCAGCAGUGGGAAAUAUUGCACAAUGGGCGGAAGCCUGAUGCAGCAACGCCGCGUGCGGGAUGACGGCCUUCGGGUUGUAAACCGCUUUCGCCUGUGACGAAGCGUGAGUGACGGUAAUGGGUAAAGAAGCACCGGCUAACUACGUG
rnacentral:rRNA from 1 species